GACCUGAUGGUGUAGUGGUAACACGCCUGCUGGACUUGGAACAAAUCUAAGAGAAAGUAAGCAGGAGAUCCCUCGUUCGAAUCGGGGUCAGGUCA